rnacentral:lncRNA from 1 species
AUUGAAUUCUUUCCCUUAGUCUUCCUUGCCAAACUUGAAUGUAUCAUUCUCAUUGACGCUUUGCUGUACUUCUGGGGGUUGCUUCAGCAGCUCUCUCUUCAUUGUGGCAGAUGCGCCAACAUGUCUGUUGGGUCCAGAAGUCUGUAUGUACCUAUCUGAUAAAGAAGUUCUCAGAGCUGACUGAAAAUCCAAAUUUCAGCCAACACUUUGGGCCAAGGGAAAGAUAACAGAAAAUGUGCAAAGCAGUACUGUUCAUAUUAGAAGGGCAGUGAAGAAUUACCAUGCACACAGAAUUAGCUUGAAACAGUACUGUCUCCUAGGGUGUGGUCUCCAGGCCAGAUCAGGUUAUGGGAUCCCAUAGAUUAUGUACGUAGACUGCACAUUGGUGGGAAGUUGCUAAGAUAAAGACUUGUCCAAAAACUAACAAAGCAAAAGAUGUGUUUAUUGGAAUGUAUAGUCUGCUGUAUUUCAAGUGGGGUCUUCAGUGCAGCAGGUAGACCUAGUUAUACAGUUAUGUAAGGGAUAGAGAACUACUGUUAAAAGGUUUUUAUCCCCUCUCACCACUUAAUCUCCUAUGUAUGUUAGGAUGGCUAGUGAUGACCUGAACAUCUUGGUAACAGACAGAGGUCUUACCUGGAGGACUAAAGCAGUACUUAGCUUAAAUACUUGAAAGGACAAAGUUAUCAAAAUACGUUGAUUAGGAUUAUUUAAGGUCAUGUGACACUGAUCUUUUCUUCUGGGUCACGUAGAGGAUAGGUUCUUGCCACACUCUUAUUCAGAGUUUCCUUGGUAAGCUGUAAUUGCAGCCCAUACCAGUUUGACCUGGCCCAGGACUACAUGCUGGGGAUGCUCACCAGGAGUCGCCCCUGGUCUCAGCCCCUCUCCUCUUUAUUUCAGAGAAGGAUGCUUGAGCAUUGGGCACAGAUGCUGAGGUGGUUUGAUUAGCUGAAAAACCAAGUUCUGAUUCAGGUGUUGGGGCAUCAUGUUCUGUUUCUCUUGGAAACCCAGCCUGCUCUCAUAGAUACCUACUUCCAUCACAUAUCCUGAGCAUUGCCAAAAGAAGCCAUUUAGCAGCUGCUGUUUUUCUCUCAGCACAAAUAUAUUUGCUACAGAAGAAUUCUCUUUUCUCUGGUCCUGGUCCCCAGACCUCAGAAUCUGUUAACUGCUCUUCCCUGCUGCACUGAAUAUGGUUCUAGGUUUUGAAGAGGGAAUUUGAAGCAAUAGGCAAUCAGGGCUUGGUUGAAUUGGUCUUGCAUAUAUCCUGUCUUAAUCCUCUGAGGUGAUGAGACACUGCUCAUGUGACCUUCUACCUUUGUGGAUCCCUCUUGGUUUGUGACCUUCGUACCUUCCCUGAGGUUGUACAAACUUGACAAAAGUUAAUACUUUUGUAUUCUCUGCACUGUUGCACUCUUCAAAUAGCCCCCUGAAUAUUAACUUGAUAUACACAUCUUUCUCUUUUAUGUCUACAGUAUUUUUUCCUUUUUUUUUUUUGAAGGUUAUCUGCUGUUGAAUUCAAUAAAUUUGUUUACC